rnacentral:rRNA from 1 species
CCUACGGGUGACAGCAGUGGGGAAUAUUGCACAAUGGGGGAAACCCUGAUGCAGCGACGCCGCGUGAGUGAAGAAGUAUUUCGGUAUGUAAAGCUCUAUCAGCAGGGAAGAAAAUGACGGUACCUGAUCAUGAAGCUACGGCUAACUACGUGCCAGCAGCCGCGGUAAUACGUAGGGGGCAAGCGUUAUCCGGAUUUACUGGGUGUAAAGGGAGCGUAGACGGGAUAACAAGUCUGUAGUGAAAUGCCGGGGCUCAACCCCGGAACUGCCUUGGAAACUGUGCGGCUAGAGUGCAGGAGAGGUAAGUGGAAUUCCUAGUGUAGCGGUGAAAUGCGUAGAUAUUAGGAAGAACACCAGUGGCGAAGGCGGCCUACUGGACUGCCACUGACGUUGAGGCUCGAAAGCGUGGGGAGCAAACAGGAUUAGAUACCCGGGUAGUC